CCUACGGGAGGCAGCAGUAGGGAAUCUUCGGCAAUGGACGGAAGUCUGACCGAGCAACGCCGCGUGAGUGAAGAAGGUUUUCGGAUCGUAAAGCUCUGUUGUUAGAGAAGAAUGAUGGUGGGAGUGGAAAAUCCACCAUGUGACGGUAACUAACCAGAAAGGGACGGCUAACUACGUGCCAGCAGCCGCGGUAAU
rnacentral:rRNA from 1 species